rnacentral:rRNA from 1 species
CCUACGGGAGGCAGCAGUGGGGAAUAUUGCACAAUGGGGGAAACCCUGAUGCAGCAACGCCGCGUGAAGGAAGACGGUUUUCGGAUUGUAAACUUCUGUUCUUAGUGAAGAAGAAUGACGGUAGCUAAGGAGCAAGCCACGGCUAACUACGUGCCAGCAGCCGCGGUAAUACGUAGGGGGCAAGCGUUAUCCGGAUUUACUGGGUGUAAAGGGAGCGUAGACGGUGCGCCAAGUCUGGAGUGAAAUGCCGCAGCUUAACUGCGGAACUGCUUUGGAAACUGGCGAACUAGAGCGCGGGAGGGGUA